rnacentral:lncRNA from 1 species
AUAUCAAUAGUCAAAAUACUUCAUCUUGAGACUUCCCAAGCAAAGAAAGCCAUUUUAGGGGUGAGAACUGUAAUUUUUCAGAUUUGUCUAAAUGGAGCUGUCAUGUUAUUCCCAUUGUUCCCUUUGGAUAUAAAAUUGUAAUAGGACUUCACCGAAAACCCAUUCUUCUCAUCCAACUUCCAUAUCCUCCUAUCCUUUAGAUUAUCCAUAUUAAUUUCUG